UAAGAGAAGAAAGGUAGAGAGAGUGGAAAGUUCUCUACUUGACGGUACCUUACCAGAAAGGGACGGCUAACUACGUGCCAGCAGCCGCGGUAAUACGUAGGUGGCAAGCGUUAUCCGGAAUUAUUGGGCGUAAAGCGCGCGUAGGCGGUUUUUUAAGUCUGAUGUGAAAGCCCACGGCUCAACCGUGGAGGGUCAUUGGAAACUGGAAAACUUGAGUGCAGAAGAGGAAAGUGGAAUUCCAUGCGUAGCGGUGAAAUGCGCAGAGAUAUGGAGGAACACCAGUGGCGAAGGCGACUUUCUGGUCUGUAACUGACGCUGAUGUGCGAAAGUGUGGGGAUCAAACAGGAUUAGAUACCCUGGUAGUCCACGCCGUAAACGAUGAGUGCUAAGUGUUAGGGGGUUUCCGCCCCUUAGUGCUGCAGCUAACGCAUUAAGCACUCCGCCUGGGGAGUACGACCGCAAGGUUGAAACUCAAAUGAAUUGACGGA
rnacentral:rRNA from 1 species